AUUGAACGCUGGCGGCAUGCCUUACACAUGCAAGUCGAACGGUAACGGGCCUUCGGGUGCCGACGAGUGGCGAACGGGUGAGUAAUGUAUCGGAACGUACCUUUCAGUGGGGGAUAACGUAGCGAAAGUUACGCUAAUACCGCAUAUUCUGUGAGCAGGAAAGCAGGGGAUCGCAAGACCUUGCGCUGCUUGAGCGGCCGAUAUCAGAUUAGCUAGUUGGUGAGGUAAAGGCUCACCAAGGCGACGAUCUGUAGCGGGUCUGAGAGGAUGAUCCACCACACUGGAACUGUGACACGGUACAGACUCCUACGGGAGGCAGUAGUGGGGAAUUUUGGACAAUGGGGGCAACCCUGAUCCAGCCAUGCCGCGUGAGUGAAGAAGGCCUUCGGGUUGUAAAGCUCUUUCGGCCGGGAAGAAAUCGUAUGGGUUAAUACCCUGUGCGGAUGACGGUACCGGCAUAAGAAGCACCGGCUAACUACGUGCCAGCCGCCGCAGUAACAC
rnacentral:rRNA from 1 species